rnacentral:rRNA from 1 species
GACACGACCGUACCGCAAACCGACACUGGUGCGCGAGAUGAGUAUUCUAAGGCGCUUGAGAGAACUCAGGAGAAGGAACUCGGCAAAUUGACACCGUAACUUCGGAAGAAGGUGUGCCUUUAGUAGGUGAACCAUUUACUUGGGGAGCCCAAUGAGGCUGCAAAAAAUCGGUGGCUGCAACUGUUUAUUAAAAACACAGCACUCUGCUAAGACGAAAGUCGACGUAUAGGGUGUGACGCCUGCCCGGUGCUGGAAGAUUAAAUGAUGGGGUGCAAGCUCUUGAUUGAAGUCCCAGUAAACGGCGGCCGUAACUAUAACGGUCCUAAGGUAGCGAAAUUCCUUGUCGGGUAAGUUCCGACCUGCACGAAUGGCGUAAUGAUGGCCACACUGUCUCCUCCUGAGACUCAGCGAAGUUGAAAUGUUUGUGGUGAUGCAAUCUCCCCGCGGAAAGACGGAAAGACCCCAUGAACCUUUACUGUAGCUUUGUAUUGGACUUUGAACAGAUCUGUGUAGGAUAGGUGGGAGUCUUUGAAGUGUGGUCGCUAGAUCGCAUGGAGCCAACGUUGAAAUACCACCAUGGUGUGUUUGAGGUUCUAACCUAGGUCCAUUAUCCGGAUCGGGGACAGUGCAUGGUAGGCAGUUUGACUGGGGCGGUCUCCUCCCAAAGUGUAACGGAGGAGUUCGAAGGUACGCUAGGUACGGUCGGACAUCGUGCUAAUAGUGCAAUGGCAUAAGCGUGCUUAACUGCGAGACUGACAAGUCGAGCAGAUGCGAAAGCAGGACAUAGUGAUCCGGUGGUUCUGUAUGGAAGGGCCAUCGCUCAACGGAUAAAAGGUACUCUGGGGAUAACAGGCUGAUACCGCCCAAGAGUUCAUAUCGACGGCGGUGUUUGGCACCUCGAUGUCGGCUCAUCCCAUCCUGGGGCUGUAGCCGGUCCCAAGGGUAUGGCUGUUCGCCAUUUAAAGAGGUACGUGAGCUGGGUUUAAAACGUCGUGAGACAGUUUGGUCCCUAUCUUCCGUGGGCGCUGCAGAUUUGAGGAAGCCUGCUCCUAGUACGAGAGGACCGGAGUGGACGAACCUCUGGUGUAUCGGUUGUCACGCCAGUGGCAUUGCCGAGUAGCUAAGUUCGGAAGAGAUAACCGCUGAAAGCAUCUAAGCGGGAAACUCGUUUCAAGAUUAGAUCUGCCGGGGCCUUGAGCCCCCUAAAGAGUCGUUCAAGACCAGGACGUUGAUAGGUCAGGUGUGGAAGC